GGAGGAAUCAGUGUAACUCUCAUGUUUUGCUGUCAGAACUCUGCUUGUGCUGUCCAGACACACAAGUCAGGGGGAAGAGUAUUUUCCUAGAACCAGUGAUGGAGAGCUCUUGUCAAAGUUAAUAGCUAUCUGUUCCCCUGGCUGCAUCCCCUGGGGAUCUCAAUCUCUAGGGCCUGCAUCUCCAAGGAAGCCGAAUGCCUCCCUCCUGAAUUUCAAUGAGCUUGAGCUCUUAAUCCCCUUACAGUUUGAAAACCUAGCUAAUAUGUGUCUAUGCACAGUCAGAUCCAUGCCUAACACAGCAACAUUCCACAGAGUCGUUUUUUCUUCAGAGAAUAUACUUUGAUCAAAACCAACACAGCUCAUGGAUCCAGGCUUAUUUUGAUGAAUUUUCUCCUUUGGAAGAAAAGGUGCAGGAGGGGCUUUCAGGAAAGCAAUACCUUCUGUCCUAAUAUUUUUGAGAAUGGAAGGAUCCCUCUCUCUGUGUAGAAGAAACUUUGUAUUUCAUACAUUUUUAGCAUAUUGAGUAGCAAGAAACAUAGAAGAAGAAUGAAAUAUACCCAUCUGAUCUCAAAUAUACCCACCUGAUCUGGACCAACUGAUUUCCCAGGGUUUUGUUUAGUAUUCAGUAUGAAAAAGAUCCAGGAAAGAUUCAAUAUCUUCAGAACAGAAAUUUGGGUGACUGAUUAGCAAUAUCUACUGGAGUUUGUUAGACAACCUGAGUUUUUAUACAAUAAAUUGAAGGAUGCUACAAUAAUGCAAUGAAUAUGUUUCAGACUUCCCUGCCUCUGAGCUCAGCUGGGUGUACUGGGGCCAGUGCAGCGUGGCUGUGAAACUGCUGGAUUGAGCACUGAGGAGCCCCCUGGCUGCCCUGAGCCACGGAGGCUUUUCUUCCCUCAAGACAAAGCUACUUCCAACAUGAAACUGGGCUGGGCACAGGGCCAGACACAAAACCAGACACACACACAAGGCCAGCUCCUGCCCUGUUAUCUCUCAUCUCUCUGAGACUUUGAG
rnacentral:lncRNA from 1 species